rnacentral:rRNA from 1 species
GACGAACGCUGGCGGCGUGCUUAACACAUGCAAGUCGAACGGAAAGGCCCUGCUUUUGUGGGGUGCUCGAGUGGCGAACGGGUGAGUAACACGUGAGUAACCUGCCCUUGACUUUGGGAUAACUUCAGGAAACUGGGGCUAAUACCGGAUAGGAGCUCCUGCUGCAUGGUGGGGGUUGGAAAGUUUCGGCGGUUGGGGAUGGACUCGCGGCUUAUCAGCUUGUUGGUGGGGUAGUGGCUUACCAAGGCUUUGACGGGUAGCCGGCCUGGGAGGGUGACCGGCCACAUUGGGACUGAGGUACGGCCCAGACUCCUACGGGAGGCAGCAGUGGGGAAUAUUGCACAAUGGGCGGAAGCCUGAUGCAGCAACGCCGCGUGCGGGAUGACGGCCUUCGGGUUGUAAACCGCUUUCGCCUGUGACGAAGCGUGAGUGACGGUAAUGGGUAAAGAAGCACCGGCUAACUACGUG